CUUAGGUAAAUCCGGGAUGCUAAGGCUGAGAACUGAUGACGAGUGUUCCUCGGAACAUGAAGUGCUUGAUGCCAUGCUUCCAAGAAAAGCCUCUAAGCUUCAGGUAAAAAGAGACCGUACUCCAAACCGACACAGGUGGUCAGGUAGAGAAUACCAAGGCGCUUGAGAGAACUCGGGUGAAGGAACUAGGCAAAAUGGCACCGUAACUUCGGGAGAAGGUGCACCGCUUUUGGUGAUGGGAUUUACUCCCUAAGCUGAGGGCGGUCGAAGAUACCAGGCCCCUGCAACUGUUUAUUAAAAACACAGCACUCUGCAAACACGUAAGUGGACGUAUAGGGUGUGACGCCUGCCCGGUGCCGGAAGGUUAAUUGAUGGGGUUAGCGCAAGCGAAGCUCUUGAUCGAAGCCCCGGUAAACGGCGGCCGUAACCAUAACGGUCCUAAGGUAGCGAAAUUCCUUGUCGGGUAAGUUCCGACCUGCACGAAUGGCGUAAUGAUGGGGGCGCUGUCUCCACCCGAGACUCAGUGAAAUUGAAAUCGCGGUUAAGACGCCGUGUACCCGCGGCUAGACGGAAAGACCCCGUGGGCCUUUACUAUAGCUUUGCACUGAACUUUGAACCUAUCUGUGUAGGAUAGGUGGGAGGCUUUGAAGUCGAGACGCUAGUUUCGAUGGAGCCGUCCUUGAAAUACCACCCUGGUAUGUUUGAGGUUCUAACGUCGGCCCCUUAUCGGGGUUACGGACAGUGUAUGGUGGGUAGUUUGACUGGGGCGGUCUCCUCCCAAAGAGUAACGGAGGAGCACGAAGGUGUGCUAAUCAUGGUCGGAAAUCAUGAGGUUAGUGUAAAGGCAAAAGCACGCUUGACUGCGAGACAGACAUGUCGAGCAGGUACGAAAGUAGGUCUUAGUGAUCCGGUGGUUCUGUAUGGAAGGGCCAUCGCUCAACGGAUAAAAGGUACUCCGGGGAUAACAGGCUGAUACCGCCCAAGAGUUCACAUCGACGGCGGUGUUUGGCACCUCGAUGUCGGCUCACCACAUCCUGGGGCUGAAGCCGGUCCCAAGGGUAUGGCUGUUCGCCAUUUAAAGUGGUACGCGAGCUGGGUUUAGAACGUCGUGAGACAGUUCGGUCCCUAUCUGCCGUGGGCGUUGGAGAUUUGAGAAGAGUUGUUCCUAGUACGAGAGGACCGGAAUGAACGAACCUCUGGUGUUCGGGUUGUCAUGCCAAUGGCAUUGCCCGGUAGCUACGUUCGGACGGGAUAACCGCUGAAAGCAUCUAAGCGGGAAGCCUCCUUCAAGAUGAGAUCUCCCUGGGACUUUAAGUCCCCUAAAGAGCCGUUGAAGACUACGACGUUGAUAGGUUGGGUGUGGAAGCGCAGCGAUGCGUUGAGCUAACCAAUACUAAUUGCUCGUGCGGCUUGACCG
rnacentral:rRNA from 1 species